CAGCUCGUAUCGUGAGAUGUUGGGUUAAGUCCCGCAACGAGCACAACCCCUGUGAUCUGUUGCCACCGGCGCAAGCCGAGCACUCUGAUCAGACUGCCCUGUGAAACGGGGAGGAAGGUGGGGACGACGUCAAGUCAGUAUGGCCCUUACGGCCAGGGCUGCACACGUACUACAAUGCCCAGGACAGAAAGAACCGAAACCGCGAGGUGGAGGAAAUCAUUAAACCUGGGCCCAGUUCGGAUUGAAGGCUGCAACUCGCCUUCAUGAAGUUGGAAUCGCUAGUAAUGCCGUAUCAGCUACGACGGCGUGAUACGUUCCCGGGCCUUGUACACACCGCCCGUCACAUCAUGGAAGUCGUUUGUACC
rnacentral:rRNA from 1 species